AUCCCUAUAACAAGACCACCCCACUUUCAGAGCAAUAAGUGCUGAUUCCUUCCUGCAGACUUUUGGAAAUCACACAGGGAGUCAGACUACUGAAGUGAAAUCAAGCAAUAAAUCUACCAGGUGGAGUUCAGAUCCAAAUCUCAAGGACGCCCUUUGAAACUUCUAGCUUUGAGGUCUGAUUCAGGAAGAAAAAAAAUGCAUCAAUGGCUGCUAGCUGAUGGGAAUUCCACAGAAUGCUGCAUUCUGUACUACUCUCUUCCAAAUGUGACUCUGCCUAACUCCAUCACCGCCUAUGACUGAGGAGCAAUUCUGUCUGAUUUCCUAGAAUGGUUGUAGAUUCUUUGUCUGACAGACCUGUCUGUGAAGAAUUUUAAAACUGACACACCGUAAAGAUUUCAUGCCAUCUCAGGAGAGAAGCUCUCAGCCUGGGAGAUGAAGCAAGGAAUCUCUCCAUCCAAAAACUAUGAGUUUGAUCAGAAGUUGUUUGGAUGGAUUAGGCCCUAUUUGAUGGAAGCAUAAAGAUGAUGAGAGCGCA